rnacentral:rRNA from 1 species
GUUUGGGAAUGCAGCUCAAAGUGGGUGGUAAAUUCCAUCUAAGGCUAAAUAUAAGUGAGAGACCGAUAGCAAACAAGUACCGUGAGGGAAAGAUGAAAAGAACUUUGAAAAUAGAGUUAACAGUACGUGAAAUUGCUGAAAGGGAAACGUUUGAAGUUAGUAUUGUAUUCGUUGGAUCAGCUUCGCAAGGAGUGUAUUCCGAUGAUAAGCAAGUCAACAUCAGUCUAUGAGUGUUGGAGAAGGGUUUUGAGAAUGUAGCAAUUUAAUUGUGUUAUAGCUYGAGACUUGGAUACGACGCUCUUGAUUGAGGAACGCGUAGUAAGCUUUGAGCAGGUUCGAAAGGAUCUCCUUACUAUGGAUGUUGGUGAAAUAACUUUAAGCGACCCGUCUUGAAACACGGACCAAGGAGUCUAACAUGCUUGCGAGUAUUAGGGCGUUGAAACCCGAAUGCGUAAUGAAAGUAAUUUCAGAUGUGAUCCGCAAGGUGCAACAUCGACCGGUCCUGAUUAUUUAUAUGACGGUACUGAGUAAGAGCAAGUAUGUUAGGACCCGAAAGAUGGUGAACUAUGCCUGGAUAGGG